rnacentral:rRNA from 1 species
GACGAACGCUGGCGGCGUGCUUAACACAUGCAAGUCGAACGCUGAAGCUCAGCUUUUGUUGGGUGGAUGAGUGGCGAACGGGUGAGUAACACGUGAGUAACCUGCCCCCUUCUUUGGGAUAACGCCCGGAAACGGGUGCUAAUACUGGAUAUUCACUGGUCUUCGCAUGGGGGUUGGUGGAAAGGGUUUUUCUGGUGGGGGAUGGGCUCGCGGCCUAUCAGCUUGUUGGUGGGGUGAUGGCCUACCAAGGCUUUGACGGGUAGCCGGCCUGAGAGGGUGACGGGCAACAUGGGAACGGGAUUCGGCCCAGGAUCCUUCGGGAGGCAGCAGUUGGGGAUAUUGGAAAAUGGGGGGAAGGCUGAUGCAGCGACGCCGCGGGAGGGAUGGAGGGCUUUGGGUUUGUAACCUCUUUCGCUCAUGGUCAAGCCGCAACAAUGGUUGUGGUGAGGGUAGUGGGUAAAGAAGCGCCGGCUAACUACGUG